rnacentral:misc_RNA from 1 species
GUAACUUGAAAAACAAUCAAUACAUAUAUUAUUUGUUUUAUAAAAAGACCAAGAAAAUAAACAAUAACAUGUUAAUUACAGAAGUCAUGGGCAAUAAGGAGCAAUAUUAAAUAAUACAAAGACAAAAUCUUAAAUUGUUCCAACUUCCGAGUGAUGAAGAAACAAAGCCAUGAGAAGCGAAAAAUAACCAUUCCAUUCCAUCACUUGCUUCCGCAAGAAAAAAGACAGCAACAGAGCCUUGAUGGAGAGGAAGAAGUAGAUUGGUUUCUUUGAGGUGCAGGAUAAUAAGAUGGCUGUGGUGGGAGAGGUGGGAUUGCAGCAGAUGAAUUUUUUUUCUCCUCUUUCACUCUGUUGAAAAUUACAGUAAAACCUUCCCCAGAAUUGGGGUCUGUUUCAUCCCAAGCUCCAAAUUGAGGAAUUGAAGUUGAUCUAUGGUGUCUGUCAUUAUCAGAUGGAUGACUUGCACUUCUGUGUCUACAAUGCUGCGGAGCAACAGAUGUAGAGAAGCUAUUAUUAGCUCCCUCAGUGACCCAACCCUUCUUCCGCUCGGAUUUUUCCCGACUAUAACCUGCAGCCUGCAGCAGAGAACUGCCAGAUUCUGACGUGAUACUCUUUUGGCUGUGGCCAAAACUCAAAUCACCUCUCCCAUACAUGAAGGCCUCUGGAUUCUGCUCCGGAUCAUUUGGGUUAAUGGGGACGCUGGCCUUCUCUUUGUGUGCAUUAUCAAAGUAUGCAGUGUAAGGUAUAUUAUCAUCGUCCCAGUUUCCGAAUUUUGGGACAUGGGAACGUUGCUGAGCCAUAGAGCAGGUGGGCUAUUGUAGCCAGUGACCAAUUUUUCUUUCUGAAUUGUUUGAUAGGGAAAACCUGGAGAAGGGAAGGGCAGAAGAAGGAUUGUGGAUUGCGUAUAGAGGUUGGAGCAUUUUGAGGGAAAUUGCGAGGAUGUAGCUUCCCAAGCUGAGACAAUGACUCGAUGAUUACAAAGUGAAAAACUCUCUCAUACCCACAAGUAAGGCCAAAGUCAUAAUCAUUUGUUUUCUA